CCCAGGCGCCCCUAACGACAGUUCUUUAGCAAAUGACUCAUGCCUGGGGUUCCCGAGAGGAGAGUAGGAAUAAACACGUGAGCAAAGGAACGAGCUACAACAAAGAGCUCUUGGGGGCAGAGGUCCUCCUUCAAGAUUGGCUGCGACCCCAGCUUGGGCCAGUGGGCCAGGAAGGAUGCACCCCACUGCCUUCACCGUGGAAAUGAUAAAAGGGCCCCUCGGAGAGGUGAGGCCACUCACCCAGAAUCACUCGUCUUGUAAGUGGCAUCUUCCUGGGCCCUUGAAUCUGUGCCUUCCUGGGACAUCACACCCCAGGGUGGGUAUUAACUGGGGAGAGAGCGAUGUUGCCAGCCAGAGGGGCAGCAGGGGUAGGGGGUGCCCGAGCACUGGGAAAGCUGGGAUUUGCAAAAGUGAGGUUGCGAGCCCUCCCGUGAUGGGGGUGCUGUGUCCUGGGCACGCCCCAGAGCUCCAGGGGGCUGACCAGACGCUCUCAGUGGCUCCCUCAGAGACGUCACUCCUGCUCAGCCUGACGCCCCCACUCUGAGCCCUCCCCGUGCCCCCCUGCCAGCACAGCGGGCCCUCCUCUCUAUGCUGCCACCUCCUUGGCUUCGCAACUCCUGUUGGCACGGCCACCACGUGCAGGACAUUCUGCCUGCAGACCGGGUCUAAGCGUAUGGCACCAGGUCACGCAUAUCCCACCAUCUGUGCCAGGUGACGUCAGCUGAUGGCUCUGGUUGAUGUCAGUGUGUGCACCCAGGGCCCACCUCCACAGCCCAAAUUCCUUACCAUUCCCACUUCCGGUUCCCCUCCUAUGGAAUGAAUUGUUACCCGCCCCCCACCCCCCACACACAUAGGUUCAUAGGUAGAAGCUCCAACCAAUGAGACCGUUAUUUUGAGUCGGGGCCUUUAAGUAGGUGAUUCAGGGUAAGUGAUGUCAUAGAGGUGGGGCCCUUUCUGAUGAAGUCGGCGUCCCCCAAGCAGAGGGAGAGACACCUGAGAGCUCUCUCUGUCUCUGAGCGUAUGCACAGAGGAAAAGCCAUGUGAAAGCCCAGCGAGCAGGGAGCCUGUCUCCAAGCCAAGGAGAGAGGCCUCACCGGGAAGUACCUUGCCGACAUCUGUACCUUGGAUUUGGGGUCUCCAGAAUUGUGAGAAAAGAAAUGUCUGUGAUCCUCGGUGGCAUUGUUGUCACCGCAGCCUGAGCAGACUCGGGCAUCCCCUGUGGCCAACAGGGGGGCACGUCACAUACCCUCAGGGGGCCCCCCCGACAAGCUCUGUCCUGCCCGGAUUUCAGAUCAGUGUUGGGUGACCCUCUGGCUAGAAAUGGCUGACGCUCCCUCACUCGACGGCCGGUGUCUGAGGACAGGCCGCCCACCGGCCCCUCGGGCUGUGGGGCUUCCCCACCACUCUGGGACCUGUUCUAAAACUCCUUUCAAGCCCAUGGGCGACCCCGCAACGAUCGAUGCAUUCCUUUUUUCCUCGAGUUAGAGGUGUUUUCACUGCAGUGAAAAAAACCCCAGUUUGGAUGCUUUCUCGGGCUAUGCAUGUGUGUUGCUUCGCAGUAGAGGUCUAGUGGAAUGCUGACUCCAAAACCUUGGGCCAACCCUAAGAGAAGGAGUUGAAGUUGGGAGAAGAAAAAGCAGGCACAGUUUUGGCAUCCGUACACUCCCAUUAGGAUCAUUCAAGGUUGUUUCCCAGAAGAGAAAUAAAUGAAGGAAGGGAUCUGGCGGGCCAGGAGAGUUUCCGGAAUCACCAUCCUCACCAGUGACAUCGCCGCCAUCACCAUUACCACCACCACCACCACCACCACCAUCACCAUCACCAUCACCAUCAACGCCAUCACCAUCAUGAUUCCCGUCAUCAUCACCAUCAUCGUCACCAUCAUCAACACCACCAUCAUCAUCAUCACUAACUUUAUCUGACCACCUAUGUGCCCGGAACCCUGCUCACGCCUCAAUGUCCUUAGCACCUCCCUCUAAUUUUUUUUCCGUGCGCUCUAUUCAGUAUCUCUUCAUGGCGCUUACCUCUCCUGGGCAUUACGUCAUAGAUUUAUUUGUUGACGUGUGUUUCCUCUGCCCUCUUUUGCCCAGAAUGUGAACUCCACAAGGACUUUUGUUUUAUUGGCAGUAGGACUCCCAGGAUCUAGCCCAGGGCUUGUGACGUGAGAGGCGACCAGUAAAUUGUAGUUGAAUGAAAGGACAUUAAGGACAACUCUGUGAGCUGAUGCUGUCACACUUGUCACCACAGAAGUCAGGGGAGUCAAGCUCACUGCAGCCACGUAGCUUGGCCAAGCGCGUCGGUGUAGAAUUAGAAUUCAGCAUCAGGUAGUUACCGCAACCUCAGAGUCUUUAACCUCUAGAACAAGCUGUACCUUAA